rnacentral:rRNA from 1 species
GUGGGGAAUAUUGGACAAUGGGCGAAAGCCUGAUCCAGCCAUGCCGCGUGUGUGAAGAAGGUCUUCGGAUUGUAAAGCACUUUAAGUUGGGAGGAAGGGUAGUAACCUAAUACGUUGCUACUUUGACGUUACCGACAGAAUAAGCACCGGCUAACUUCGUGCCAGCAGCCGCGGUAAUACGAAGGGUGCAAGCGUUAAUCGGAAUUACUGGGCGUAAAGCGCGCGUAGGUGGUUUUGUAAGUUGGAGGUGAAAUCCCCGGGCUCAACCUGGGAACUGCUUUCAAAACUGCUGAGCUAGAGUACGGUAGAGGGUGGUGGAAUUUCCUGUGUAGCGGUGAAAUGCGUAGAUAUAGGAAGGAACACCAGUGGCGAAGGCGACCACCUGGACUGAUACUGACACUGAGGUGCGAAAGCGUGGGGAGCAAACAGGAUUAGAUACCCUAGUAGUCC